AACCCUCGUUAAGGAACUCGGCAAAAUAUAUCCGUAACUUCGGGAAAAGGAUAGCCUGUAGUCAGUGAAGUGCAGAAGCGCACGGAGCUAAGGCAGGCGGCAGAAGAGAGGCCCAAGCGACUGUUUACCACAAACACAGGCGUCUGCUAAAGGGAAACCUGACGUAUAGAUGCUGACACCUGCCCGGUGCUGGAAGGUUAAGAGGACUUGUUAGCGCAAGCGAAGCAGAGAAUUGAAGCCCCAGUAAACGGCGGCCGUAACUAUAACGGUCCUAAGGUAGCGAAAUUCCUUGUCGGGUAAGUUCCGACCCGCACGAAAGGUGUAACGAUUUGGGCACUGUCUCAACGAGGGACCCGGUGAAAUUGAAGUACCUGUGAAGAUGCAGGUUACCCGCGACUGGACAGAAAGACCCCAUGGAGCUUUACUGUAACCUGAGAUUGAAUUCUGGUAGGAGAUGUACAGGAUAGUUGGGAGGCGGAGAAGCGAGUACGCCAGUAUUCGCGGAGCCGAUGGUGGGAUACCAACCUUGUUUUAUUGGAAUUCUAACGAGAAGCGUAACGAGCUUGCGGACAGUCUCAGGCGGGCAGUUUGACUGGGGCGGUCGCCUCCGAAAGAGCAACGGAGGCGCCCAAAGGUUCCCUCAGUGCGGACGGAAACCGCACGAAGAGUGCAAAGGCAGAAGGGAGCUUGACUGCGAGACGGACAGGUCGAGCAGGGACGAAAGUCGGGCUUAGUGAUCCGGUGGCAUAGAGUGGAAUAGCCAUCGCUCAACGGAUAAAAGCUACCCUGGGGAUAACAGGCUUAUCUCUCCCAAGAGUCCAUAUCGACGGGGAGGUUUGGCACCUCGAUGUCGGCUCAUCACAUCCUGGGGCUGAAGUAGGUCCCAAGGGUUGGGCUGUUCGCCCAUUAAAGUGGUACGCGAGCUGGGUUCAGAACGUCGUGAGACAGUUCGGUCCCUAUCCAUCGCGGGCGGAAGAAACUUGAAAGGGGCUGCUCCUAGUACGAGAGGACCGGAGUGGACCGACCAAUGGUGUACCAGUCAUGACGCCAGUUGUGCAGCUGGGUAGCUACGUCGGGGACGGAUAAACGCUGAAAGCAUCUAAGCGUGAAACCAGCCUAGAGAUGAGGUUUCUCAUUACGCAAGUAAGUAAGGUCCCACAGAGACGAUGUGGUAGAUAGGCCGGGAGUGGAAGUACAGUGAUGUACGGAGCGGACCGGUACUAAUAGACCGAGGACUUGACUUAA
rnacentral:rRNA from 1 species